rnacentral:rRNA from 1 species
GACGAACGCUGGCGGCGUGCCUAAUACAUGCAAGUAGAACGCAGUUGCGAACGGGUGAGUAACGCGUAGGUAACUGCCUGGUAGCGGGGGAUAACUAUUGGAAACGAUAGCUAAUACCGCAUACUACCAGAUGGACCUGCGUUGUAUUAGCUAGUUGGUGGGGUAACGGCUCACCAAGGCAACGAUACAUAGCCGACCUGAGAGGGGGAUCGGCCACACUGGGGAUGGGACACGGGCCCGACUCCUAAGGGAGGCAGCAGUAGGGAAUCUUGGGAAAUGGACGGAAGUAGUACCGAGCAACGCCGAGUGGGUGAAGAAGGUUUUCGGGUCGGAAAGCUCUGUUGUAAGGGAAGCGGUAUCUUACCAGAAAGGGACGGCUAACUACGUGCCAGCAGCCGCGGUAAUUC